CCAAUAGCGUAUAUUAAAGUUGUUGCAGUUAAAAAGCUCGUAGUUGAAUUUCGGGGUUCAUACGUUGGUCGGGCUUUUUUGGUCUGUACUGGCGUAAUGGAUUCCUACCUUCUGAAUAACUGGCAUGUCAUUAAUUUGGUGCGCCGGGGAAGCAGGACUGUUACCUUGAAAAAAUUAGAGUGCUUAAAGCAGGCUAUCGCCUGAAUACAUUAGCAUGGAAUAAUGAAAUAGGACGGCAUGGUUCUAUUUUGUUGGUUUCUAGGAUCACCGUAAUGAUUAAUAGGGAUAGUUGGGGGCAUUAGUAUUCAAUUGUCAGAGGUGAAAUUCUUGGAUUUAUUGAAGACUAACUUCUGCGAAAGCAUUUGCCAAGGAUGUUUUCAUUAAUCAAGAACGAAAGUUAGGGGAUCGAAGACGAUCAGAUACCGUCGUAGUCUUAACCAUAAACUAUGCCGACUAGGGAUCGGACGAUGUUAAUUUUUUAAUGACUCGUUCGGCGCCUUACG
rnacentral:rRNA from 1 species